UCCCUGAUGGCCCAGUGGUUAGGACUCUGCCCUUCUACUGCAGAAGGCAGAGGUUUGAUUCCCAGUCAGGGAA
rnacentral:tRNA from 1 species